UAAUUUUUGAUCAAAUAAAUGCAGCCUUGGUGAACAUUAGAGACUUAAAAAAAAAAUUUUAUUAAAUUUUACCAACCCCAAUUUGUUGACCAGUAGUAAAUGUAAAGAAAUAGAAAUGUCCAUAAAAUAAAAUCUAAACUGUAAAAAAACAAAAAAACAAACAAACUAAAAGUUAAAUAUAUUUGAAAUUACUAUUGAAAUAAAAACAAAUUUGAAAAUGCAAACUAUAAUAACUUGAAUGCUAUACGUCUCUUACAUGCAUCUCAUGUAUAUAUUAGUCAGAGCUGUGGCCUUCGCACUCUAACACAAUGAGCUAUGGUUCUAAUGUGAGCACUGUUAGUUUGAGUCAAGUUGCGGCAGUGGUGUGGCCAACAUUUGUAGGACUGAAUUGCAACAUGGCAUCUUUCUGCUGUGCUGUUGGCUGUGAUAACCAUAAAUCACAAUGGCUUAUUUACCAAGAGAUGCGGAUGUAUGGGAUCAUUUUGGCUAAAUAUUCCUUGUAAGCAUCGAUGCACAUUUACAUUUUAGUAUUUUACUUAGUAGGCACUCGUAAGCUCAUUAAGGAACGUUCAAAAAGUCAAAUUCGUCUGUGAGACUGCAGAGAAAGGAGCUUUCUUGCUUUGGCCGAAAACUUUUGGUGUGCUUACCACCUAAAGCUAAUACAUGAACGAGAUGUUUUUGAUCUUUGAUCUAAGUACGGUUAUGUUUACGCUGCCCUAAACUUUGACGAGCAACACUCCGAUCCGCAAACAAACAGAUGAUAAAGAAGAGGAGGAUGAUGACAGUCCAGAAUAUACGAGGAGAAAGAAGAGAAGUGUUAUCAUCGCUGAAGAAAUGGCAGACACCUGUGAACACUGUGCAGUGCUUGGAGUUCAAGUGGACAUCAUACUUAUUAUACUUCUCUGACUGCUCUAAAGCCAAUGAGAAAAACUCAAAAGAAGAUACUAUGAAUCAUGCAGGUGCAGAAAUGAAAGCUCCCAAGCAAAGAACCUACUGAAUUAAGUUUUUAAUGUUUUCACCUUUACUUGUUAAAUUUUACAAUACAAGUAUAAGUAAAUGCAUGGAUUAUUUAGUAAAAUGUGUUAAAUAUUUUAUCUACACUUGUUGUUUAACUACUGUUUUUUUGCUGUAAUUGCAUGGUUUUGUAAAUAAAUUGUUGUGUAAUAAAUUUUCCUCAUGCCAGCUUGAUCAAGCGAGUUAUUUAAUGGAUUUUAAAAUUGCAUUCAUAAUAAUGAGAUGUUUACAGAUUUGUUAAGUCAUGUUAUUUAUGCAUUAUAAUCUAUAUAAUUAAAAUGAAAGUAAACAUUUUGGCUAUGGAUUAAAUUUGUAAUGAAAUAUUAAUGAACAGUUUGGAUGCUUGGAUGCUGCAGUGUCAGCAAGUUAACGGCUGUCGCAUGGCCAGAUUUAUUCGGCUCAGAAUCAGGCAGUGAGUACACAGGCAUCCAGGCCGGGUGCGGCAGAUGGAGCCGGGCCGAGCCGAUGGUAAGACUCCGGCAGAUGAGAAUUUAACUGAAACUGGCCCAAGUGUAUUUUGUUAUCUGGGUCAUCGGUGUAUGGAGAGGGAUUGUAGAUGAGGUAGAUGUAAAUAUCAGCAAACGUCAAAUUUGACAAGUUUUUACUAGACCUGUUUUUACUGGCAGUAAAUAAGGAUUUAAUCCUAAAGUAUCUGUUUUCUUUAAAUACCGUUGUUUUGCAUUGGUGGUGAAGUGUGCUAUUUUGGUUUAUGAUCAUCAAAAAGAGGCUACACAAAGGUCCUAAAGAUGGCGGCCACAAUAAAAAAGUCAUGUGCCUGAAGCCCAUGAAUACUGUACUGACCAAUGUAAGUGUUGAAAACUGAACAAACAAGCAUCUAGGCAUUCUACAUCAAAGUGUUACUAUCAUUAAUGUCAAUAUCCUUAAUAUAUAUAUAAAUUGAGAUUUCCAAAUUUUCUCCAUUUCCCAAUUUUCUGCCAGUACUUUAUGAAAAAGUAGGUCAGGAUGGGGUUCACUCCUAUUUCCUGUGUAAUUAAUCCUGUGUUGUUUUGUAUUCUUAGUUUGAGGGUGAACAGCAAUCUGUCUGGCUGAGAGAGGAACCGGAGUUUCCUGCCUUAGUUUAGCAGAGUGAUAUAAACUCAAAACAUCUUGGCCCGAGACUGAAAGGAAACCCUGUUUGAUUAAGGAAUUUUCCUUCUUUAAGAAAAACAUCCAAAACAUAAUACAUCACAAACUGGGUUUUCAGACAAAACCGAUAUGAAAAUAUGUUCUGUGAAUGAUAGCCCAAACGUGUACAUGUUUCAGCGUCUGCUUUUAUUUCUAUUGUUUAAAGUGAGUUUAUCAGCCUAAAUACAAACAGAAGAUUAAAACUGUGUUCUGCUAGUACUCAAUAGACAUAAUUAUAAUUAGGGAGUAGAAUUUGUGCUAAAAAUAGCACUGGGUUUUAUUGUACAAGUGAAUUGCAAAAUCCAGAAUCUGACCAUUAACCAUUUGUUCUUAAAUUAAACUUGCAAUAAUGCUCUUAUAUGGGUAAUUCAUGUAUGUACUGUAUAUUUCACACACUGUAACAGCAUCUGUGUGUGGGUGUGAGACAGAGAGAAAUCAAAGAAUAGGCCCUCUGGACAUGUUUAAAUAAAUGUGUGCCACUAUAGGGUCUUACUGAUGAUUUUGACAAAGAGAAGGGUCAUGUGAUUGGGUGGUGAGUGCAGGCUGGAAGCUCAUUGGUCUAAACAGAGCCAUACAUCCCAGACUGCUGGUUUAGAGUUGUAGCCUGGAGGGACUGGAAUGACUCGCUGUCUGCAUUAUGAUCCAAACAUUCCAGCUUGACCGUUGCAAAAUCCAUAAAAAGAGACCUUAAAGACAGUUUUUACAGGCACUGGAACUAUUUAUAAAGUCUCAGUCCCUGUGUCAGAGGUAAUUGGUAGCAACAGUUGUGAACAUCAUGUCCUGCGCUGUUUAGUUCACUGUAGAGGGACAGUCAUCUACACCCAAAACACAUCAUGAAAUCUAAACCCAUUUCAGUGUACAGUCCAAUAAUCUGCUUGAACAAGUGAGAUAAUAGCUGUAUGGAUGUUUAUUUUGGUAUAUUUGUUCUGGUAAUGAAAUGGAAAGCUUUUUGAGACACGGUAUGAUGAAUCAGUUUAGUUUUCAUAUGCAAUACAGAAUAUUUUGAAUAGAUGUUACUACGAUUAGCGAAAGCCAGUGUAAUGCUUUUUAUUAGAAGAGUUGAAUAACAUUUCACCAUCAGUGCCUGAAAAUAAGUUAUAUCAAUUUCCCUAUCAUUUAAAUAAAAAAUCAAACAGCAUCUGAGGCUUCUUUUUGCAGCUGUAUUGUUGAUCUUGCUUUAGACUGCAGAUUAGUGUUAUGUUGUGCUUAAUGGAGUGAAUGUGAUGGUUCUCUCUUAUCCCAUCUUGGUAAAUGGAUACUGGAAUUCACCUAUCCCAGGAUGCAUUGCAUUGCUAGCAUCUGAGGUUGAUGACUAAUAGCAGUGGUUAUCUGAUUUAUCUGAGACACCAGGACAUAGUCAUCCUGAAUGAGAAUGACUCUUCUCACUUGCGCCCUCUUGGGGCAGUAGCAACAAAAAAAAUUUUUGUAAACAUCGACACAAUUUCAGAUCUACAGAUAAUAUACUGUGAUUUUUUUUACAUUUGUGUAGUGUCCAUAAUGUUGGGUCUAGAUGUGUUUGCUGCCUCUCCAGUUAUCCAGUAAUGUCUCAAUUUAAUCUCAUCACUGCUGUUGCUAAGAUCAGUAAAUCAUAUUACUGCCAGUCAGCAUGGGUGUUGUUAGCCACAGUAUAUGAAAAUUACAAUCACACACCCACACAUAAACACAUUAAUAAGACCAUUCGGUCAAUAUUAAAUGAGAUGGAUUUAUGUUGCCACAGUGCUCAUAGACAAGGACACACAUCAUCCACAAUCCUCUCACGACCAGCUGUGAAAUAAGACCAGAUCACAUAAUGAUUAUUAAAGUUCCCUUGAAAUGUCUCUUCAUCUGUGGCUAUAGAUUAAAAUAUGCACUGAUCACAAAUGUGUGUGCAUUUGUUUCAGUAUGCUGGUAUUGUUGUUUUACUGUUUGGUGGCUUUAUUAUACUUGAUUUACUGCCAAUU